rnacentral:rRNA from 1 species
GAUGAACGCUAGCGGCAGGCUUAACACAUGCAAGUCGAGGGGCAUCGGGAGGGAAGCUUGCUUUCCUUGCCGGCGACCGGCGCACGGGUGAGUAACACGUAUGCAACCUGCCCUCUUCAGGGGGACAACCUUCCGAAAGGGAGGCUAAUCCCGCGUAUAUCGGUUUCGGGCAUCCGAGAUCGAGGAAAGAUUCAUCGGAAGAGGAUGGGCAUGCGGCGCAUUAGCUUGACGGCGGGGUAACGGCCCACCGUGGCGACGAUGCGUAGGGGUUCUGAGAGGAAGGUCCCCCACACUGGUACUGAGACACGGACCAGACUCCUACGGGAGGCAGCAGUGAGGAAUAUUGGUCAAUGGGAGAGAUCCUGAACCAGCCAAGCCGCGUGAGGGAAGACGGCCCUAUGGGUUGUAAACCUCUUUUGUCGGAGAACAAAACCCGGGACGUGUCCCGGACUGCGUGUAUCCGAAGAAAAAGCAUCGGCUAACUCCGUGCCAGCAGCCGCGGUAAUACGGAGGAUGCGAGCGUUAUCCGGAUUUAUUGGGUUUAAAGGGUGCGUAGGCGGUCCGUUAAGUCAGCGGUAAAAUUGCGGGGCUCAACCCCGUCGAGCCGUUGAAACUGGCAGACUUGAGUUGGCGAGAAGUACGCGGAAUGCGCGGUGUAGCGGUGAAAUGCAUAGAUAUCGCGCAGAACUCCGAUUGCGAAGGCAGCGUACCGGCGCCAGACUGACGCUGAGGCACGAAAGCGUGGGGAUCGAACAGGAUUAGAUACCCUGGUAGUCCACGCAGUAAACGAUGAAUGCUGGUUGUCCGGGUCGAAUGAGAUCUGGGCGGCGAAGCGAAAGCGAUAAGCAUUCCACCUGGGGAGUACGCCGGCAACGGUGAAACUCAAAGGAAUUGACGGGGGCCCGCACAAGCGGAGGAACAUGUGGUUUAAUUCGAUGAUACGCGAGGAACCUUACCCGGGCUCAAACGGGAGUGGAAUGGACCAGAGACGGUUCAGCCUACGGGCCGCUUCCGAGGUGCUGCAUGGUUGUCGUCAGCUCGUGCCGUGAGGUGUCGGCUUAAGUGCCAUAACGAGCGCAACCCCCGCCGGCAGUUGCUAACGGGCAAUGCCGAGGACUCUGCCGGGACUGCCGCCGCAAGGCGAGAGGAAGGCGGGGAUGACGUCAAAUCAGCACGGCCCUUACGUCCGGGGCGACACACGUGUUACAAUGGGCGGUACAGCGGGAAGCCAGGCGGCGACGCCGAGCGGAACCCGAAAGCCGUUCUCAGUUCGGAUCGGAGUCUGCAACCCGACUCCGUGAAGCUGGAUUCGCUAGUAAUCGCGCAUCAGCCAUGGCGCGGUGAAUACGUUCCCGGGCCUUGUACACACCGCCCGUCAAGCCAUGGGAGCCGGGGGUGCUUGAAGUGCGUCGCCGCGAGGCGCGCCCUAGAGCAAAACCGGUGACUGGGGCUAAGUCGUAACAAGGUAGCCGUACCGGAAGGUGCGGCUGGAACACCUCCUUUCUGGAGACCUUUAGCGUCUGAAUCGCAAGUUUGUCUUGUGGGAAAAAUAUAAGGAUAAGAAGUCUGAACGCUUCUUAUCUUACUAUCAGAAUAGGACAAUGACAAGGCUGGAAGCGAGAGUCGAUGAAAAAGUCGGCUCAGCGAGAAGACAAGAGUAGAAACACAACAAAAAGUUUCACGAGCAAAUCGAAAGGCGACAAUGUCGAACUUAGUUUCGUACAUAUAUAUAUAUGCCGCAAGGCAUAAAAGAAAUAACGGAACGAACAAGGGCGCAUGGGGGAUGCCUUGGCUCUCGGAGGCGAAGAAGGACGUGACAAGCUGCGAAAAGCUGCGGCGAGUGGCAAAUACACCGUGACCCGCAGAUAUCCGAAUGGGGCAACCCGUAGGGAGCGAUCCCUACAUCAGUCGGAACGACUGAGGCGAACGUGGGGAACUGAAACAUCUUAGUACCCGCAGGAAGAGAAAGUAACAACGAUUCUCCCAGUAGCGGCGAGCGAACGGGGAAGAGCCCAAACCGGCGGCGUUUCGGCGCGUGCCGGGGUUAUAGGACCGCUCAAAGGCGCAUGCGAGCGUAGCGGAAGGAGAUGGAAUGCUCCCCCGCAGACGGUGAGAGGCCGGUACGCGAAACGCAGACAUGCCAGGAGCGGCACCUGAGUAGGGCGGGACACGAGAAAUCCCGUCUGAAUUAUCGGGGACCAUCCCGAAAGGCUAAAUACUACCGAGAGACCGAUAGCGAACC